rnacentral:rRNA from 1 species
CCCUUAGACGUUCUGGGCCGCACGCGCGCUACACUGACCAGUGCAACAAGCAUCCGUCCUUGGCCGACAGGCUCGGGCAAUCUUUGAACGCUGGUCGUGAUGGGGAUAGACUUUUGCAAUUUUUGGUCUUCAACGAGGAAUUCCUAGUAAACGCAAGUCAUCAACUUGCAUUGAGUACGUCCCUGCCCUUUGUACACACCGCCCGUCGCACCUACCGAUUGAAUGGUCCGGUGAAGCCUCCGGAUUGGCGCGCACCUCGGUGCCGCCGAGAAGUUGGCUAAACCUUACCAUUUAGAGGAAGGUGAAGUCGUAACA